rnacentral:rRNA from 1 species
GUGCCAGCCGCCGCGGUAAUACGUAGGUGGCGAGCGUUGUCCGGAUUUACUGGGCGUAAAGGGAGCGUAGGCGGAUUUUUAAGUGAGAUGUGAAAUACUCGGGCUUAACCUGAGUGCUGCAUUUCAAACUGGAAGUCUAGAGUGCAGGAGAGGAGAAGGGAAUUCCUAGUGUAGCGGUGAAAUGCGUAGAGAUUAGGAAGAACACCAGUGGCGAAGGCGCUUCUCUGGACUGUAACUGACGCUGAGGCUCGAAAGCGUGGGGAGCAAACAGGAUUAGAAACCCGCGUAGUCC